UCUCCCUCUCUCUCAAAAAUAAAUAAACAUUAAAAUUUUUUUUAAAUAAGAAUGUAGGCUUAUAGCAAUCUUAAUUUAUGUUCACUUAAAAGAUAAACAACAGAAAAGAUAACAACAUAAGAUAUAUAGUGUUUAUGACCCAUUUAAAGAUAAAAGUUUGGAGGGACAGCCAGGAUCAAAAUGCCAUAAACCAUAGGCCCUCACGCUACUUAAACACUACAGAAUAAUAAAAUGUGCUGCUGAGAGAUUCACUGUUAUAUGUUAUCAUAAGUAGGACUGAAUCAAUAGCAUAAUCAUAAAGGUCCUAUUUUUCUUCCUAAAAAGGGCAUGCUCCUUAACAGUAACUGCUUUUUUCAAUUUGCAACAAUGCAAUACACUAGUCAAACAUUAACUUUCUUAAGAACAUAGUACUGGGGAAAGGUGGAGUAGAUAGAGAAACACUUUAACCUGAUUUGACCACAACUAACUAAUCUAUUCUGUCAGUCUAAAUUAAAAAAAAAAGAAAGAAAACGCUUUCUACCUCUGAACUCAUAAAUUUGGGGUGUGAGAUGUAUCAUGGAUUCUCAAGUCAACUUCUGCUGCUGGGAGCAUAUGGCCUCACAUUCUCUGAAGUGAGGUGGCAGGAACCGUUAGUUGAAGUGCUGCUGUUGAUUUUCAAUGGUUGUGAGCAUGCAUAAGGAGGCAGGUAAUUUCCCCCCAUAAUCAGGUCCCAGAUCACUUAGUCCAUUAGAACUUUAUAUGAUUUAAAAAAAAAAAAAAAAAAAACAACCUUGACCUGCACCUGGACCCAGAGUGCCACUUUGGUACAGAGUGUCACUCGGGAACAAGGAGAAGACAGGAGCUAUCCUGUUUGCAUCCGUGCUUUUAUACGUUGCUUUAUUCCAGGUACUACUUAUGGUGCUUAAUUCUGAAUAAAGAUCUUUAAGAAGGUCAAAAACCAGAG